rnacentral:rRNA from 1 species
CGGAGGAUCCAAGCGUUAUCCGGAAUUACUGGGCGUAAAGAGUUGCGUAGGUGGCAUUAUAAGUUGGUAGUGAAAGCGUGGGGCUCAACCCCAUAUCCAUUACCAAAACUGUGAAGCUAGAGGAUGAGAGAGGUCGCUGGAAUUCCCUGUGUAGGAGUGAAAUCCGUAGAUAUAGGGAGGAACACCGAUGGCGUAGGCAGGCGACUGGCUCAUUCCUGACACUAAGGCACGAAAGCGUGGGGAGCAAACGGGAUUAGAUACCCCCGGUAGUCCACGCCGUAAACUAUGGAUGCUAGCUGUUAACCGUAUCGACCCGGUUAGUAGCGAAGCUAACGCGUUAAGCAUCCCGCCUGUGGAGUACGGUCGCAAGACUA